UGAUGCCAGUGCACCUUGGGACUACGUUGAGAUUCAGAUUUUUCCAUCCCAGAACAGUUCCCUACCGAGUGGAAGCACGAAAGACAUUAUCAAAGCUGAAAGCUACUUGAUUAUAAGCAGGCUGGAGCAGGGGCUGAAGGUUGUUUGCGGUGGUUGAGGGUUGUCUGGCAUGCGAGGAACUCGAGAGUAAUGGUAUUUGUUAGGUUCUUAGAUUUAGCUAAUAGUUUUUCAUGGAAUAAAAAAUGUAUUACGAAUUAUUUUCAUUAUAUGUAUGAAUAAUUUCUUAUUGAUGGUAUUAGUAUUUGAAUAUAUAU